GCUAAGGGACUAAAUUAAACGCGCGAAUUACAUAGAGGGGCUGGAAGGGAAAUUUUCCCUUCUCCUCUAAAACGGCGCCGCUCAAAGGGGACUGAAUUGAAACUUAAAAUAAAUUCAAGGGCCAAAUUUGAAAAAAAUAAAAAAAACUAAUGGUAGAAUAUUAAAAAGGCGGAGAAGCUAAAAGCGCAAUUUACCCCUCCGCAUAAAAACACGUGGACCCUAAGGCGGAUCGGGUCGGAUUCGGGUCGGGUACUCAAAACGACGCCGUUUUGGGCGUCUGAGGGUUUCCCCAAAACGGUACCAUUUUGGUACCCUAUAAAAGCCCCUAACUCAAAAAAAAUUCAUUUCAAAACAGAUUUAAAAAAAACAAAAAAAACCUUUAAAAAAACUCUCCCUCCCCCAGUCCGUCCGGCCUCCAAUCCGGUCAUCGGCCAGUCACCGGCCAUCGCACUGGCCGCCGAUCUCCGGCGCCGGCACCACUGUCUAUGGUAGCUGGAAAAGGGGAAAAACCCUUAUUCAGUUCCUUCAGUCUCUUUAGGCCCAAAUCUGGGCUCAAAAUCC
rnacentral:lncRNA from 1 species